UACGAAGGGUGCAAACGUUGCUCGGAAUUAUUGGGCGUAAAGCGCACGUAGGCGGCUUAGCAAGUCGGAAGUGAAAGCCCUUGGCUCAACCAAGGAAGUGCUUUCGAAACUGCUGAGCUUGAGUAGUUAAGAGGAUCGCGGAAUUCCCGGUGUAGAGGUGAAAUUCGUAGAUAUCAAGAGGAACACCUGAGGUGAAGACGGGUUGCUGGGCCAACACUGACGCUGAUGCGCGAAAGCCAGGGGAGCAAACGGG
rnacentral:rRNA from 1 species